CUGGUUGAUCCUGCCAGUUGAUAUGCUUGUCUUAAAGACUAUUGCAUGCAUGUCUAAGUAUAAAUAUUAUACAGCGAAACUGCUAAUGGCUCAUUAAAACCUUUAUGGGUUAUGUGGGAAUGUUUUUACAUGGAGCUGCCUUCUAAAUCUAUGGCUAAUAUUUGCUGCGCUCCCUGACUUCAAGCAAAGGUUGUAUUUAUUAUGCAUAAACAAACACUGGGAAGGGUGUUUCCUGCCGACUCAAGUUGACUGAGCAAAACUUCGGCUUGUCCGACGAUGGCUCAUUGCCGUUUCUGCCCUAUCGUCUUUCGAUGGUAGUGUAUUGGACUACCAUGGCUAUCACGGGUAACGGGGAAUUACGGUUCGAUUCCGGAGAGGGAGCCUGAUAAACGGCUACCACAUCUAAGGAAGGCACCAGGCGCGUAAAUUACCCAAUCCUGACUCAGGGAGGUAGUGACAAGAAAUAACAAACCGGGGCACUUCGUGCUUACGGGAUUGCAAUGAGUACAAUUUAAAACACUUAACGAGGAUCAAUUGGAGGGCAAGUCUGGU
rnacentral:rRNA from 1 species